GAUGAACGCUGGCGGCGUGCCUAAUACAUGCAAGUCGAGCGAACAGAUGAGGAGCUUGCUCCUCUGACGUUAGCGGCGGACGGGUGAGUAACACGUGGAUAACCUACCUAUAAGACUGGGAUAACUUCGGGAAACCGGAGCUAAUACCGGAUAAUAUAUUGAACCGCAUGGUUCAAUAGUGAAAGACGGUUUUGCUGUCACUUAUAGAUGGAUCCGCGCCGCAUUAGCUAGUUGGUAAGGUAACGGCUUACCAAGGCAACGAUGCGUAGCCGACCUGAGAGGGGGAUCGCCCACAGUGGAACGGAGACCGGGACCAGACCCCUACGGGAGGAAGCAGGGGGGAUUCUUCGGCAAGGGGCAAACGCCGGACGGAGAAGCCCCGCGUGAGUGAGGAAGGUCUUCGGAGCGAAAAACUUUGUUAUGAGGAAAGAAAAAAUGUGUAAGUACAUAUGCCGGUCUGGACGGUACCUAAUAAGAAAGCCACGGCUAACUACGUC
rnacentral:rRNA from 1 species